rnacentral:rRNA from 1 species
AGGGGUAGCAAUACCACUGGCGCACGGGAGAGUAACGCGUAGAUUAUCUGGCUCUAUCUCUGGAAUAACGCCGAGAAAUUGGUGCUAAAAACAGAUGAGGCACAAGUUGUCAAAAGAAAUGGAUAGAGAUGAGUCUGCGUCUGAUUAGCUAGUUGGUAAGGUAACGGCUUACCAAGGCAACGAUCAGUAGCUGGUCCGAGAGGACGAUCAGCCACACUGGAACUGAGACACGGUCCAGACUCCUACGGGAGGCAGCAGUGAGGAAUUUUGCACAAUGGAGGAAACUCUGAUGCAGCGACGCCGCGUGAAGGACGAAGGGGCUUUGCCCUGUAAACUUCUGUCGGAUGGGAAAAAAAGUUCGGUCGCCGAACUGGGAUUGUACCAUCAAAGGAAGGGUCGGCUAACUACGUGCCAGCAGCCGCGGUAAUACGUAGGACCCGAGCGUUGUCCGGAUUUACUGGGUAUAAAGGGUGCGCAGGCGGACCUGUGCGUCGAAGGUUAAAGACCAGAGCUCAACUCUGGGAGUGCCUUCGAUACGGCAGGUCUUGAGUACGAGAGAGGAUAGUAGAAUUCCUGGUGUAGCGGUGAAAUGCGUAGAUAUCACGAGGAAUACCAGUGGCGAACGCGGCUAUCUGGCUCGUAACUGACGCUCAGCACGAAAGCGUGGGGAUCAAACAGGAUUAGAUACCCUGGUAGUCCACGCCUUUAACGAUGUAUGCUUGGUGUUGGAGCUUAUGCUUCAGUGCCCGGAGGAAACCCAUUAAGCAUACGCCUGGGGGAGUACGAUCGCAAGUUGAAACUCAA